CGCCGCCGCCGCCGCUCCGCACCCUGCCGGAGAAGCUCCGAGAUCCUUGCCCCUUUUAUUUGAGGAACUCUUUUGGACGACACAAAAUGAUUUGAUCAUUCAGGACAAAACUGCUCUAGAGGAGCUCUGGACGUCGGAGAGCCCAGCAGUCCCUGCAGGUGGUGCUGGGUGGUGCACCAACAAUGAGCGGGUGUUUUCCGGUUGCUGGCCUCCGAUGCCUGUCUAGGGUCUCCACUUCCUGGAGCUCCUCACCCCCACUCUGUCUUCCCGUCCAGUCUGUCUCCACGCUCCCCCAUCAUUAUGUCCUCCUAGUCCCUCUUUCCCCACCGCUGCCUCAUACGGUUCCCCACCCACCCCAUCUCCACUACCUUCGUCACCUUUUUAGCCAUGCUGCUCUCUUUCCUCUCCCCUACCUGCCUCAGGUAUGCCGUGGCCUGGCGCGGGAGGCUCCUACCUCCCCAGGCCCCAUUGCUUCUGCUGCUCGCUCGCUUCGGACUCUGGCACGAGCCCCACCCGCUGACACGGUCCUUCUGGGGAAUUGGCAAGUGACUAGCGAUGAGCUGUCAGCACAGGCCCCUAAAGCUCCCUGGAAAAGCUGAGUCCCAUCCCUGGACCCCUGCCCAGAGCCAUCUGGCUGGUCGCGGCUCCCAGAGAGCCGCCCUGGGCCUUGAGCCUCUACCCAGCUGGUUAUUCUGAGCUCAAACCCAGCUCCCUGCCGGUGCCCAGGCCCAGCACCUACUCUCCAGGCCUGGGGUCUGGCACUCAUGGUCCGCGUGCCUGGCACAGUGUCAACUCGCCUGCCCUGGAGAUAAGCUCCCUAUUGUCCACCGUCCACAGCCAUCGGCCCAGGGGGGAUUGGGGAGGCUGCUCCCUUUGAGUGAAUGGGUGGUUUCCCUGUCGCUGGAAAGGAGUGGAGUCCCCUCCACCCUCCCUGUAUCCACACCAUCAACUGGGGUCAGAAGUUUCUAGAAAGUCUAGUCCAGAAACCCCAAAGGGUGCCCCCUCCUUCUCGGUGCCCCAUGUUAAGUCCCAAUGGCCCGGAUGAGAGGAGCAGCAAGGUGCCAAGGAAGUCCUCCUGGGCUCGGGAGGAGACUGGUCCUCCGAGGGUACAUCCCAGCGCGGUCAACUGAGAGGCGCCCAGGGGGCGGGCAGGGAGCCGGGGUGGGGGCCGCGGCGUGGGGUGCUCCCGGCUUAACCAGCCUUGGGUCCU